rnacentral:lncRNA from 1 species
ACGUUUCCAAUAGGAAGCGCACACUACGCUGUGGGAACAAAAACACCAGGUGUCUGCUAUGGCCAAGGCAGAUAAGGUCUUUCUCUCCAACAGGAUCCAGAGAUGAGCCACUGGUACUAACACCCAACGGCUGAUAUUGUUUCAUAUGAACGUACCCUCCACGUGACCUCUUUAAUGCACUUGGCAAACUCCGUUAAUGCUGUUGAAGAAUGUAUGUUCUGUGCUGUGGUAAGAGGUGAUCGUAAUGCCCAAAUCAUCCAAUACACUAUCAUAAAGUGAAGUGAAAGACAUGUACUAGAUGUUUGCUUUGUGAAUGUGAAUGAAAGUCUUAUUUUGGG